GUGCCAGCUAGGGAAGCAAUGGGCAGGACUUGUGGCUGUCCCAGAACUCAGCUCAGCUUGUUGUCAACAACGCUUGCUAAAGUUGCUGUGGGUCUGUCUAUCUGCACAUCCGUCUGUUUGUCCGUCUUGACCUCCCACCUCUUCAUUUACCCAUUUGUUUGUUGGAGACAGCCCAGUGCUUUGCCUCUGUGAUCCCUUUGUAAAUUGGAAUGAGGGGUUCUUUGGUUUGGAGGCCUAGGUGGUGUGGGGCUGAGGUUAGCUGCCUACUCUGAAACGCCCAAUAUGGCUCUUUAGGAUUAAGCAGGAUUGGUUCCAGAGAUGGAUCCUGUGGGUGUGUCUUCAGGGAUCAGGGUCCUGCCAGGUGGCUGCACAGGUGGGAAGAUGCCCAGAUGUUGGGUUAUAUCCAGGUGUGUUGUGUGUGUCCAAAGGGUAUGCCACAGCACUUGGAAGUGUUUCGGGCAUGAAAGUCCUUUGAGCUUGUGUCACUAGGCACAACAGUCCUUCUUUUCAGGGUCACCAAGUUCCAAUGCCAACUAUGGAGUUGUAGUCAUGGUGACUGUUCAAGGACAUGCCCUCCAUCCCCAGGCUCAAUCAGCAGCUCUAGUCCAUGCCAACAUCAUAGUUACUCAGUUUUUCCUGUUUUGUUUUUAAUCUCUAGGAUCUGCACGAGGCCUGGAUUUGACUGCAUGUAACAGAGCAAUGAGUGUUUGCUUGUACAAGGAAAUAGGACAAAACCUAAGUAUUUUAAACAUAUAAUACAAAAGACCUAACAGUAACAGAGCAUUGACAUCUAUACAAGGAAGAGUACUUCUAUCUUCCAUCUAGGAAAUAGAAUGAAACUUAAAUAUUUUAAAUAUAUAAUACAUAACAUCUAACAAUAAUUUGUUGUUAUGAUACUUAGGUAUACUUAAUAUGCAUACACACAUAAGACAGAAACUAUCAUGGACUGAGGCUGCCAUUCCCCAGAAUCCUUUGCUUAGCUGUGGCUCAAGGAUCUCACUCUUUCUGUCUUGUUGCUGUGCCCAUCAGACUUUUUUUUUUGUCACUAUGAUAAAAUACUUGAAACAAUAUCAGGGAGGGAGAUCUGAUUUGGCUCCUGGUUUCAUUCAAUCAGGGUGGAGCAUCCACCUCAUGGCAGAAGGGAGUGGGGAGUAGCUAUAACCUUCAAAAGCCUGCCUUCUGUCUCCUUCCUCUAGCCAAGCCCCACCUCCUACAUUUUUCUGCCACCUCCACAGAUAGUGCUACCAGCUGGGGACCAAACAUUCAACACAGAGCCUGUGGGAGACAUUUCAUAUCCAAACCAUAGCCUUCUGCCUCUGGUUCCAAAGGUCGUGAGCGUCUCAGAAGAAUUCACGAUUACACUGACAAAGGCAGGCCACCAAAGCCCACACCUGGUGGCUCAUACCUGCAAUCCCAUCCCCCUGGGAGGCUGUAGAAGUUGUUCCAGGAGUUCAAGGCCAGUCCAGACUACAUAGCAAAGCCCAGUCUCAAGCCUUCUACCUGUGAAGAUCUGCAUUACAGCAAGCUGAGUCUCAGCACAUGGACCAGAUGGAGCCAUGUUCCCUUCUAGGUAGAACAUGUAAACCAUAGUCCUCGUUCCCACCUGAGACCCGGGCACAGCCUUACUGUGCACACACAUUCCCCUUGGCAUUCUGGUCUUUGGAGCUCCAGCGGGAUCACCCACAGGCAAUGGCUACAACAUUCUAAGCGUUCUCCAGCCUGCUUCUCCAAAUGUUUCCACAUUCCUCCCACAAGCCAGUUCCAAAGGCUUAAGAACCACGCGGUUAGGUUUAGUCACAGGAACAAACCACUUCUCUGGCACAAAGUUUCUUUAUUGCUGUGGAAAAUAUCUGAGAGAAAUAAGGGAAGAAAGGCCUAUUCCGGCUCAGGGUGUCAGAGGGCUCCAUUGGUUGUGAUGGGGAUGGUAAAGGAUGACAUCCCAAGUGACAGUGGCCAGAAUGAGGUAAGAUUCGAGGGCUAGGUAUUGUCUUCAAAACUACACCCCAGUGAGCCCAUCCUCUGUCUAGGCUCUACCUUGUAACAUUUCCAGCACCUUCUAAAACAAUACCACCCAUCGGGAUCAAGCAUUCAACACACGAGCCUGCAGGGCACAUUUCGUAUUCGCUCAUCCCUACUUCAUUCAGAAGUGACAUUUACCCUCAUUCUCACCGUGUGGUUGCCACACCUCCGGGCAUCAUCUCUACUUCCCAGGAAGAUGGAGAGCAAGAGGAGCGAGCCAUUCCCUGUUGUCAGGAAGCUUCCAGCACCCCGGGAGCCUCCUGGAGCAGAGGCUCUCGCUCUGCUCAGGUUGCAGCUGCAGGGACCUGUGCAGUAAGUACCUUUCUGCUGGGAGAAUCCGAGGUGAGCGUGAGGAGUCAGUGGGACCACAGGCUGCUUUGAGCUCCCCAAGGGUGAGCUACAGAUAUCUGUGAGAGACCAAUAGAUGCUCUGACAUUCCCAGGACAUUAUCACUUAUUCAGAGUGUAAUCACGACCAUUGUGUUUAUUGAGACGUAGCUAUUGAAUGUCUUAAUUGGCACUGCAGUUUGAUUUAUGGUUUUGUCUUUAUAGAGGAAUUUGCUUUUGAGUUUUGUUUCCUGCCUGACUACUAAUGCUGUGAACGAAUACGAGGGGGCAGUAGACCGAGUCAUGACUUGCCGAGGAGUGCUGAUGAGGCCAUUGAAAGAAAAACAAUCUCUAAAAACAAUUACCGCUGACCCUGGUGUCAGGGAAGGACUUGGGACUGUCAUACAGAUCGUCGUUUGAGGAAUGUACACGAGGCUCUGUCACACACAGACCCUGUCACACACAGACCCUGGUAUGAGGGAUGGACUUGGGACUGUCAUACAGAUCGUCGUUUGAGGAAUGUACACGAGGCUCUGUCACACACAGACUCUGGUGUGAGUCAUUAGGGAGUCUUGGGCUAUGCACUCCCCUCCUCAGGAGCCUGGGUUUCCACUCAGUUGCCCCCAGCAUGUGGCCUAUCAGGCAGGAUCAUUGUAAGAGAGCCAGUUCCUGCUGCAACUGGCGAGUUUUCCUCCUUUAUAUCCCUUCUGUGGUCAUUCUGAUUCCCAUCCAAGGCCAGCCUCGAACCCCUGCACACAGCAAAAGCACAUGACCCCUGAGAGGCACUGCACAAGAAGCUUGCUAUGGUCUCGUUCAUAGCUUGGAGUCACAAGAGCUGGGAGGCCUGCCUUGUCUGUCGCUGGGAUUCUGCGGUGCAGAGACUUGCAAUGGGUUGGGCUGCACCAGAGUCUGUCAUGGCACAGCAUCUACCAGGAAUGUGCCAUCACACGUCAAAAGCAGUUCCCUCCUCCGGGUGACAGGACUUCCCUGGCCUUCUGGAGAAGCCUGAAAUAACACUGUGUUAAGAGCUUCCCCAAAGUCCAUUGACCCCAGAAUCUAGGAAGGAGCCAUCAUUACACUGUGUGGAGAGGGAAGUGAGCUCAACUAAUGAGCUUCAGGCUUAGCCCCGAGCUUUGGGAAGAAAGGGGCCUUUGGGAAAAUGGGAGGGAGGUAGUUCCAAGAUGUGAUGCUUCCCAAAGCACUGAAGAAAGAAAAGAAAGGAGUCGUGGGGACAGAGACCCUUGCUAAGAAUGACAGGCAGGAGAGAGAGGUCCCCCAAACGAGACCCAAGGAGACAGCACUCAGUGGGCCAGCAAAGGGAGCUGUUGGCUACGGCUCCAAUUGCCAAGCUGGCAAUGGCUUUGUUCACACUUCAAAGCUGGAGCUAUCAAUCAGGUGCUCAGGUCAGCAGAACCUGGGCUGUUAAUGAGAUAAGAGACUGUUGACAUACUAGUUCUCAUUCAGGACGCCAAGUGCAAGGUGACCACUGGGCAGCAACCCAGAUUCCUGAGGAGGAAAGUGUGCAUAACUUCCCUGAUCCUCCACACCAGGAUCUGUGCAUGAGACACAAAGUCCUUUGUCCCUGCUUACAAUGUCUGUGUGUGACAGUCCCGUGCUCCUUCCUCACACGGCUGUUCUGUGUAUGAUAGAACCCAUACCCAUCCCUUACAUGGUGUGUGUGUGUGUGUGUGUGUGAGUGUGUGUGUGUGUGAGAUAGAACUUUAUGUCCAUCCCUCAUGAUUUGCAUAUCAUAAAGGCCUACGAUCUUUUAAAGAAUAGAUUAUUUCCUGGGCAUACCUUGAAAGUAACCAACAGAUCUCUAAUUGGACUUACAACUCACUCAACAAGAGGGAAGUCACACCUGAUACUGGAAGCCUAUCUACUCAGUGCUAGUAAAGUCAUGGUUAAAUGGAAUCUACACCUAUUAGUUCAGUAAACUGGGAUAAUCGCCAAAACAAUCUAUAAACAUUUCUCCUUAUAACUGUGGUUAUAAGUGUAGUCCUCAAUUCACAUCAAAGAAACUUCCCUUUGCAAGAGACAGAGACCAUUACAGAAGACUACAACCAAUCAAAUGCAGAGUUGUGGAGCCCAGUGCCCAUGGAUACAUCGCCCAUACCUAAGGCGCAGGGCUCAUUAUGUCAGAAGGAGUGGAGAGAUUGUAAGAUUGCUGUGGGAUUGUGUCUCUUCUGGAUGUCGGAAGCUAGACUUACCAAUUUGACAGCAGAAGCGAGAGCUGAAUGACCACACCAAUGGGCCUGACAAAGUGGACAGUUGUGGCCCAGGAGGCCUCAACCCUACACAAAGCUCUAUAGGCAACUGAGGAAAACUGGGAGAAGAAGAGAGGUUCCUCCCUAGGGAAAGAAGAGCACACUGAUUGACCGUCCAGCACCAAAUGGUCAGCUCUGAAAACAUGCAUACAGACUUACAGAGAGAAACGGAAGCAAGUAUCCAGAAAAAGAUACACUGGACAAAUGCUUGGAGCAGCUUUGUGGAUAAAAACUUCAGCGCCAGAAAACAGCUCAAACACCCUCAAAGUGGGAAUUGGACAAAUAAACAGGUGGCAUCUUCACACAGUGGAAUACUAUGUAGCCCUGAAAAGGGUAUGCAGCACCAUGGGAAACCUCCAAGGCUUGGGGGCAAGUGACAGAAGUCAGAUGCAAACAACUCUGUCCAGGGAAUCUAUUUUAAUGAGGUACAAAAACAGGCAAUGGGCAGUGAUGGGCAUUGGGAGUGUGUGUGAGUCAGGGUCAGGGAAGCCAGUGGUCAUCAAGCCAGGAGAGAGGCAACUCAUCCUGAGAUCAGCUCUUGGAGCUAUCACAAGCUGCAGGGCACCACAGGACAGCCUGCCUGGCCCUGCCUGGCCCUGCCUGGCCGUGCUUGGCCAUGACGAUAUAGCCAAGCCAUUGAUACCUGCGUCUGACUGUCUUAGUAUGGGGAGUUGCAAGCAUUCAGUCCUUCAGACUGGUUACGACAAAGCAUGACUGUCCCAACCCAGCCAGAGCCCCACCAUGUUAGCUCACAUAUUCUGCAGGGUCCUCUAAGCUCUUCCCUUCCUACAAGCUCUCAUUUCAGUGUUAACAUUAUCUGGCAAAUUCCCUUCUCUCUGGUGUCAGGAUGAGGUACAGCCCUACCCUGGAGAAGCUGAGGCACAUUUUCACCUGGGGCAAAUGUGUACCUCAAAGCAUUCAAGAGAACGGGAAGGCUUGAGAGAGCACUGGUAAGCAUGGGCUAGGGUGCUAAAGCGAGGAAGACCUGCAUGUGUUUGUGGGAGCAAUCAGGAAUGCUGUCCCAGGUCAGGUUGGAAGACUGGACUCUGGUCUCCUCGUCCCGGGAGGAGCUGACUCAGACAGAUGGUGCGCCUUGCUUGCCCUGCUCUUGUCUUGAGUUGGGACUCGGGGUGGGGGCUGGGGUGGUGGAACCAAGGGCACAAAGCUCUCUCUGUGUCAGAGAUAAGUCACAGCACUGCUUCUGUUGUGUUGUCAGAGAGCAAAAAUAGACCAAGUCUCUAUACGCUUUCCAGAAGGGGCCUACUGAGGGGCCCCGGCUAGGGUGCUUUCUGCACUUCGCCUUGGUGCUCAGGGCACAGGGCUUCCUUCCUCUUCCCGCU
rnacentral:sRNA from 1 species